GACGAACGCUGGCGGCGUGCUUAACACAUGCAAGUCGAACGGAAAGGCCCUGCUUUUGUGGGGUGCUCGAGUGGCGAACGGGUGAGUAACACGUGAGUAACCUGCCCUUGACUUUGGGAUAACUUCAGGAAACUGGGGCUAAUACCGGAUAGGAGCUCCUGCUGCAUGGUGGGGGUUGGAAAGUUUCGGCGGUUGGGGAUGGACUCGCGGCUUAUCAGCUUGUUGGUGGGGUAGUGGCUUACCAAGGCUUUGACGGGUAGCCGGCCUGAGAGGGUGACCGGCACAUUGGGACUGAGAUACGGCCCAGACUCCUACGGGAGGCAGCAGUGGGGAAUAUUGCACAAUGGGCGGAAGCCUGAUGCAGCAACGCCGCGUGCGGGAUGACGGCCUUCGGGUUGUAAACCGCUUUCGCCUGUGACGAAGCGUGAGUGACGGUAAUGGGUAAAGAAGCACCGACUAACUACGUG
rnacentral:rRNA from 1 species